CCUGACUCCUCAGCCGUGGUCUUGCCCACGAUCCAUUUGACUUCUCAGCAACUUGAACUUGUAAGGUGCCAGGAUCCUCUUUAUUGGAAACAAUUCACAGAGUAAACACAGGCCGGUGAAGCAUCUCCAUGCUGGUUUCCCACCCACCCGGGAUGCAAUGAACGGUAACGAGGCUUUCCCGAUCCCGCUCUCACUCACCCACCAAUGAGUUUAAAGAGGCAGCCGACGGACAGAAAUUCCCACCCCGCACCAUUCAGGUGGAAAUGGGAGACGCUGAAAGGCCACUUAGGAAGCAGUGAGUGGAGGAGUGAAGGGAAGGGUGAGUGGGUCAUGGCCUUCCAGCUUCCAAAAUGAGUGUUGAUGAUCAAGUGCUAACAAUUCUUCAUUCAUCCAGUUACUGAAUCGUCAUUGCCUACUACAUACCAAGUAAUGAAUGCAAUGCCUGCUCCAUGUUUUUGAGUAGCACAAUUCUGUUAGCCUACACACUGGCUCUAUUGCCCUGACCCGCAGUGACUUUAUGAAGGAUCCAUGUGUUUCUUUCCUUAGUUUUCCUGUAGGAGGUCUGGAUACGGUCCGAAGGGGGGAAAGCCUGUCUGGUGCUUGGAGGAGCACUGUGCACGCAAUAGGUUCUACCUGAGUGCACCUUUCUAAACCUUCUCUGAUGACUGCUUUCUGUUGCUUUGGGACUCCGAAUAAUAGAACACAGGUGAACAGACGAAGGCAAGGCUUGAGCCCCUCCCAUGGACCAUAGAGACCACAGGCCGGAGGCCAUAGAGACCCUGUCCUGGCCUUGGGGAGCUCACAGGGAAUGCGCCAUUGAACAGUUCCCACUGCUCUGUAGCCACUGUGGAACCACAAUUACCCAGCGAGGCGGCUGCGGUGGGUUAUUAUUGCCAUGAAAAAGGCCAGGAUGCAGCUGAGUACCUGGGAAUCACUCUCCCUCCACUGACACAGAGGCGGACUUUGUAAACCUGCUGCAUUUGCACGCACAAUUAGCAUUAAAAGCUCUACCCGGGUUCAUGCAGAAUCGCUUUGAAAGAAAAAUCAGCAAAGGUCGCGGAGAAGUGGCAGCUAAACGCCUCGGUGCCAGCCUGGCUACGACCACGCAGGGGCAAGCUGUGAAAUUGUGGCCUACACACCGAAUCAAGAGCUGGAAGAAAUCUUUGCACUUUCUACCUGGGGGGCUUUGGGAUCAAGCAGAUUCUUCUCUGAGCCCCAGUUUAUCUGUAAAAUGAGUAUAGCAGUACCUACCUCACCGGGAUGGAAAGAUGAGUAACUCCAACAAUAAUUUAUAAGUUAUAAAGCCGUGUAAACCUAAGGUACUGCUCUUUUGUCUCACUGCUAUUCUGAGCUGCCUUCUUUUUUGGUCUUGCGUUUCUGCUUCAGAAUGGAUUUUUGGUACAAGUCCAUUUUAUCGCGAGCAGUAUAGCACUAUUCCUGCCCUUGAAUUCGGGUUGCUUGCGGUAACCCCUUUCAAUGAUUAAGUUGAUUCUUUUUUCCUUGGCUUCUUUCCCUUCACAAACACGGACUGUGCACUGAAAAUGAGCUGGAGGGUGACAUUAAGGGGCCCUGGAUACCAUGGGAGCUGAGGGAGCUUGUCCUAGAACUGGAAAUGCCUGAGCUGGGUUCUCAGCUCAAUGGGAGACAGGAGACGGAGAGGGA